GUGCUCGCUUCGGCAGCACAUAUACUAAAAUUGCAAUGAUACAGAGAAGAUUAGCAUGGGCCCUGCACAAGGAUGACAUGCAAAUGUGUGAAGCGUUCCAUAUUUUU
rnacentral:snRNA from 1 species